ensembl:lncRNA
GCAUCAUAAGCAACCAGCCAUGGCUCAUUCUGUUUUUGCAUGCAGAGGUGGUCAGGUUAUCAUCCAGGCAAAUUAGAGGCGGGUUAGGUGCUAAAGACCAGAGGAGUGAUGAGAAUCAGGAGAGUAGGAGUAUAAAAGGAAGUAGUGGACAGACUUCCUGAGAACAUCAGACGCCAUCUUCCUCCACUCUUCCCCAGCGCGAUGAGUGACGUGACGUCUGGCGGCUCCCUGACAGUGCAGAGGCCAAGAAGUUAACCGCCAUGUUGUGCUUCGGGAACAAAAGCUGAACGAGACCAGAAGAUGGAUGACACGGUCUAAGGUUAAAGUACAAACAGUCGUGAUAAAUCAGAUACCGACUGCAGAGAGAAAGCAGUUCAAUCCUCAGGCAUGUAGUUGCAGAAAUUGAUACAAAUUGGGGUGCUUAUAAACUGGUUUCACUUCAGGAUCCUAGUUUUAAACUGGAGCAAGCCUUGACCCAAAGCAGAGC